CUAACUUUUCACUUGGAACCGUUUCCGGCGAAAGAAUAGUGGGCAUAUGACUUACCAGACCGGUCCAACCUACGGUUUGUUGAUGUUGACAAAUCGGAAAAAAAUCACCCGGGAAGUUUCCGAAAAAUUCCAACUCGAUCCGUUCAACGUCGAUUAUCGUGUAAAAGCCUCAAUUACGCACUCGGGACCGAUGACCAACCCCCCUGGAAGUCGAAAAAAGCGAUAGCUGGUUGUUCCGCGGUGAUUGAUUGCUGCUGCUGCUGGUACUUAUGAGCAAAUUAAUUGCUUCUGCUGCUGCUGAUCGAAGUGCACUUUCUGCUGCUGAUGCUGGUGGUGAAUGCCGAAAAUGAUUCCCCAGGCCUGGCAGGUACGUGCGCGAUUCAAUCCGGGAUGAAGGACCAUGUACGGACGCAGGCUUCCGUUAUUGUUGUCCCAGGAAUUGGGUCCCAAACGGCGUCGAAGGAUUCGGAAUAGCAGGAACAACUUUGGUCAUCAACUUGACCAGCGAUGGCGGAGCAGAACAAAGGCCGAUAAGCGAAGCGAAAUUUUCGGUUGGAGACACGUCCGUUCGCGCGAAUAGGUUUUGAAAAGUGAUCUUUAUUGAAGCAUAAAUACAUACAUGUCACUUACGA